AAUUAAGAUGGAUUAACUAUACAAGCAGCAAUUGCUUUUGAGGUAUACAAUCAAAAGGCCAUCAUCCUACCCAUUUUAUAUGAAAGCAAAUGAAUAGACUGCUGACGGGGCAACACUUAAAGAGUAAAGAAUAAAUACAAUACGUAGGGCUUGCCUAUCAAGUAUAGAUGGUGUAAUCCUUUUUUUCUUUUUCGCUUUUUGUUUUUUAGUACUUUUUCACACCUUUAUUGAAACAUAUCUUUAUUUUUUUUGAUAAUCAUACUCUAUAUUUUGUUGCUUUAUUUUUAGUGUCUUUUCUUCUAAGCUCUCUUUAGUAGAUAAAAUAUCACCGAUUAAAAUGAUUACAAAAAGUUGGGCUUUUCAUUCUCUAUAUAUACAUCUGCUAUAUACGUAUUGAGUUUGCUACCAAUUCUUAAUAGCCAGCCCUCUAUUACCACGAAACAUCUGAUUCAGAAAGUCAAAAUCACUUUCUUCCGUGAUUAAUUGUUUAUCUUGCUGCUUCCGCUAAACUGUUACUUUGCAAACCUGACAUUCCAUAGUAUCGGAAAGUUUCUAAAGCUUUUGUAAACAAGACGGUCGUUCAGCCCAGGCUUAUUGCUGACGAUGUUAGUUGUAUUAUUAAAUAAUUUCUUUGAUGAAAAAAGAAAAACUCAAACACCAUGGGAAACAUUUAGU